rnacentral:lncRNA from 1 species
UUAAUGAGAUUACGGGGUUACCCAAAACCGAAACGCAAAGGCAUAGUGUGAGAAUCUGUUAAAAUUAUUUACGGUAUUUACACCAAGAAGGAUGCUACCGCACAAGAUAAAUCGAGAUAAACACCGAAAUUCACUCCUCAAGAUCUAAAGCACAAGACAACAUAAAACAAACUGACAAAUGCAGUAAAACACGAGUUGCCGGUAUAUGCUCAAGACCAACACUAUAUUAAGCAUAACUCCAUAGUCCUAAAAGCGAAAUCAAAAUGACAUAGUUCUUUCAACCUUUCAUUGUUACUGUCAACUACCAAGCAGUGUAAUCAAAAUAGAAAUUCAAACACGAUCUACAACCAAAA